rnacentral:lncRNA from 1 species
CUACUGAUCUAGAGAGGUGUUUAUUUCAUGGUAUGAAACUAGAGUCAAAAUCAUUUCAGGCAACUGAGUCAUAAGGGAAAGAGUGUCAACUGACACUCAUGAAACACCGUGUUAGACUAAAUAUGAUAGUUUCCUUGACACAACUUCAAUAGUGUCCUAAGAGGCAGAAACACCGUGUUAGAAUAUAUCAAUGUGUUUUCAUGUCCAAAACAGAAACUACCUGACAACUAAAAGAUAAAAAAGGGCUGGCCACAUACAUACAAAGUUUCUAAGUGUCCUAAGAGGCAGUCGCAACCAGAACAAGCAGCAUAGUCUUCUGCCAUAUUAUAUUUAUGCUACUCAAAGCCUAGCUACCUUCUCUUUCAGUUUGCAAAUAGUUAUAAUGGUGGUUGGGUAGCAAAUAAUAUUUCACAGCAAAAUGAUCUAUGAGGUCACAUUUUCUAAAUUUAACAAAAGAAUAUCAGAAUUGUUGCCUAAAAAUUAACUUAUGGGACAAGGAAAUAGAUCUUGAGUGCUGAUCUGCACCUCUAGUAUCUAUUAUGCCACUUAUGCAGAAACCUCUAGUUGACCACUGCCAGAAGAUCAGGGGAGUACAGAGUCCAAUAUUCUACAGUGUCAUAUGUUAGCAAAGUUCUGCUAGUGAAAUCAGGUAGUGUAAAUACAAACUCACUUUAUCAUUUCGGUUGAUCCUAAUCAUGAAGGUCCAGGAGAAAAAGCACAAGCAUUACUAAAAGGUAUUCCUUGGUAAAUCUAGCAAAUGUUCUCAUGCAGGCACCUUUAUAUUAUUCAAUUUUGUAUGAUGUUUAUUACAAUAGGAAGCUAGUAUAGUUAGAGGCUGAGGUCAAUGAUGGUCACAUCUGAAAUCAUUAAACUGCUACUGAUCUAGAGAGGUGUUUAUUUCAUGGUAUGAAACUAGAGUCAAAAUCAUUUCAGGCAACUGAGUCAUAAGGGAAAGAGUGUCAACUGAUACUCAUGAAACACCGUGUUAGACUAAAUAUGAUAGUUUCUUUGACACAACUUCAAUAGUGUCCUAAGAGGCAGAAACACCAUGUUAGAAUAUAUCAGUGUGUUUUCAUGUCCAAAACAGAAACUACCUGACACCUAAAAGAUAAAAAAGGGCUGGCCACAUACAUACAGCGUUUCUUAGUGUCCUAAGAGGCAGUCGCAACCAGAACAAGCAGCAUAGUCUUCUGCCAUAUUAUAUUUAUGCUACUCAAAGCCUAGCUACCUUCUCUUUCAGUUUGCAAAUAGUUAUAAUGGUGAUUGGGUAGCAAAUAAUAUUUCACAGCAAAAUGAUCUAUGAGGUCACAUUUUCUAAAUUUAACAAAAGAAUAUCAGAAUUGUUGCCGAAAAAUUAACUUAUG